GGCUCAAGGACAAGAACAUUAUGUUGUUCUGAAGAGAGGUGAUGACUUAAAAAUCAUGCUCAGUAGGAUUACGCUGAGGCCC
ensembl:snoRNA SNORD115 Small nucleolar RNA SNORD115